rfam:Balearica pavonina gibbericeps contig58733, whole genome shotgun sequence.
GCCCAGAUAGCUCAGUCAGCAGAGCAUGGGACCCUUAAUCCCAGGAUCGUGGGUUCGAGCCCCACUUUGAGUG